rnacentral:rRNA from 1 species
UCAUAAUCAGUGAAAACGAGUAGGGCGGGACACGUGAUAUCCUGUCUGAAUAUGGGGGGACCAUCCUCCAAGGCUAAAUACUACUGACUGACCGAUAGUGAACCAGUACCGUGAGGGAAAGGCGAAAAGAACCCCUGUGAGGGGAGUGAAAUAGAACCUGAAACCGUGUACGUACAAGCAGUAGGAGCACCUUCGUGGUGUGACUGCGUACCUUUUGUAUAAUGGGUCAGCGACUUAAUUUUAGUAGCAAGGUUAACCGUUUAGGGGAGCCGUAGGGAAACCGAGUCUUAACUGGGCGUACAGUUGCUAGGAUUAGACCCGAAACCAGGUGAUCUAGCCAUGGGCAGGUUGAAGGUUGAGUAACAUCAACUGGAGGACCGAACCGACUAAUGUUGAAAAAUUAGCGGAUGACUUGUGGCUAGGGGUGAAAGGCCAAUCAAACCUGGAGAUAGCUGGUUCUCCCCGAAAGCUAUUUAGGUAGCGCCUCGGACGAAUACUACUGGGGGUAGAGCACUGUUAAGGCUAGGGGGUCAUCCCGACUUACCAACCCUUUGCAAACUCCGAAUACCAGUAAGUACUAUCCGGGAGACACACGGCGGGUGCUAACGUCCGUCGUGGAGAGGGAAACAACCCAGACCGCCAGCUAAGGUCCCAAAGUAUAGCUAAGUGGGAAACGAUGUGGGAAGGCUCAGACAGCCAGGAUGUUGGCUUAGAAGCAGCCAUCAUUUAAAGAAAGCGUAAUAGCUCACUGGUCGAGUCGGCCUGCGCGGAAGAUGUAACGGGGCUAAGCUAUACACCGAAGCUGCGGCUACGUACCUUAGGGUAUGUGGGGUAGGGGAGCGUUCUGUAAGCCGUUGAAGGUGGUCUGUAAGGGCUGCUGGAGGUAUCAGAAGUGCGAAUGCUGACAUGAGUAACGAUAAAGGGAGUGAAAAACUCCCUCGCCGGAAGACCAAGGGUUCCUGUCCAACGUUAAUCGGGGCAGGGUAAGUCGACUCCUAAGGCGAGGCCGAAAGGCGUAGUCGAUGGGAAACGGGUUAAUAUUCCCGUACUUCUUACAAUUGCGAUGGGGGGACGGAGAAGGCUAGGUGGGCCUGGCGACGGUUGUCCAGGUUCAAGUAUGUAGGCGGAAAGUUUAGGUAAAUCCGGACUUUCUUAACGCUGAGAUACGAUGUCGAGCUACUACGGUAGUGAAGUCAUUGAUGCCAUGCUUCCAGGAAAAGCCUCUAAGCUUCAGAUUGUAAGGAAUCGUACCCCAAACCGACACAGGUGGUCGGGUAGAGAAUACCAAGGCGCUUGAGAGAACUCGGGUGAAGGAACUAGGCAAAAUGGUACCGUAACUUCGGGAGAAGGUACGCUCUUAUCAGUGAAGUCCCUUGCGGAUGGAGCAGACGAGAGUCGCAGAUACCAGGUGGCUGCAACUGUUUAUUAAAAACACAGCACUGUGCAAAAUCGUAAGAUGACGUAUACGGUGUGACGCCUGCCCGGUGCCGGAAGGUUAAUUGAUGGGGUUAG